rnacentral:lncRNA from 1 species
AAAAGUCCUUUGAUUCAUAGGAGGAAACCUCUCCUUGUUGAGGAUGCAGACAGAUCCAUCCCACUGCCGAGCUCUGGCUACCCUUUCCAGGACAGGAUUGUACUCCUGCGACACCAGUCUCCAGAGGCCUGGUGAUAUUCAAGGUCUUCAUCCCUCUCGGGCACGCCUAACUAACACUCACCUCUUGGAUGAGAUGAUGUCCUCGUGCUGCCCUUCUGCCGACCCUUCCCUGCAAUCGGCCCUGACCUCUCAGAAUGCAGCUUGCCCCAGACUGAUAUAGCUCAUCCCUCAUUGGGUGCAUCUGUGCCCAGCUACCCUGGUUCUGAUGAAGUAAAUAGGACACAUAUGUCACCGUGGAGCCUCAUGAGUCUCUUUAGAUAAAGAUAAAUUUGGAAAAUUGCAAAACUCUCCAGAGACAAUACCUUCCUAAUGAUUUCUGCCUUCUUUGACACCUCAUUGCACUGAUUAAUGGUCAUUCAAAUUGAUCACCUGGCAUAGCUCACUGUCAAAAUAAAAAAGGACAUAUUUUAAAAAGUCAG